rnacentral:rRNA from 1 species
GACGAACGCUGGCGGCGUGCUUAACACAUGCAAGUCGAACGAAGUGGCGAACGGGUGAGUAACGCGUAAUCAACCUGCCCUUCAGAGGGGGACAACAGUUGGAAACGACUGUUAAUACCGCAUACUGAAGGAGGGGCUUGUGUUUGAUUGGCUAGUCGGGGGGGUAACGGCCCACCAAGGCGAGGAUCAGUAGCCGGUCGGGGAGGAUGGACGGCCACAUUGGGACGGAGACACGGCCCAGACUCCUACGGGAGGCAGCAGUGGGGAAUCUUCCGCAAUGGACGAAAGUCUGACGGAGCAACGCCGCGUGAGUGAUGACGGCCUUCGGGUUGUAAAGCUCUGUUAAUCGGGACGCGGUACCGGAAUAGAAAGCCACGGCUAACUACGUGCCAGCAGCCGCGGUAAUAC